GAGAACUAGAUGCCACCCCUCGGAUGACCAUACCCUAUGAAGAGCUCUCUGGGACCCGGCACUUCAAGGGCCAAGCCCAGAACUACUCAACACUGCUGCUGGAGGAGGCCUCAGCAAGGCUGCUGGUGGGAGCCCGAGGUGCCCUGUUCUCUCUCAGUGCCAACGACAUAGGAGAUGGGGCUCACAAAGAGAUCCACUGGGAAGCCUCCCCAGAGAUGCAAAGCAAAUGUCAUCAAAAAGGGAAAAACAACCAGACGGAGUGCUUUAACCAUGUGCGGUUCCUGCAGCGGCUCAAUUCCACCCAUCUCUAUGCAUGUGGGACUCACGCCUUCCAGCCCCUCUGUGCAGCCAUUGAUGCUGAGGGCUUCACCUUGCCAACCAGCUUCGAGGAGGGGAAGGAGAAGUGUCCUUAUGACCCAGCCCGUGGCUUCACAGGCCUCAUCAUUGAUGGAGGCCUCUACACAGCCACUAGGUAUGAAUUCCGGAGCAUUCCCGACAUCCGCCGGAGCCGCCACCCACACUCCCUGAGAACUGAGGAGACACCAAUGCAUUGGCUCAAUGGGAGACCUGGGAGGGAAGAAGAUCCUGCAGAAGAAGUGGACUUCCUUCCUGAAAGCCCGUCUCAUCUGCCACAUUCCACUGUAUGAGACACUGCGUGGGGUCUGCAGCCUGGAUGCUGAAACCUCAAGCCGUACACACUUCUAUGCAGCCUUCACGCUGAGCACACA
rnacentral:sRNA from 1 species